UUGCUCUCCAGGGCUCAGUCCUCUCCUGCCUUGUGGUCCUGACCUGCCCUCCAUGAGCAAGAGAAUCUGGACUGGUUGGGGGUGUCCUGUCCAAGUGGACCACAGGACUCCACGGUUUUCAGUACAACA
rnacentral:snoRNA from 1 species